GGGCGAUUAGCUCAAUGGUGGAGCACCUCGUUUACACCGAGGGGGUUGGGAGUUCGAGUCUCUCAUCGCCCA
rnacentral:tRNA from 6 species